CAAUUGGGCAAUUGCCAAGCUCAGUGGCCAUUUGUACCUUCUGAACAGCAUGCAAAUGGCUGGUAGCGGGUGCAAUUCAAUAGCACGCGCUCAUCCCCAACUCCGUUAGCCCUUUCCAGAGACCGUCCAAAGGAAGACCAGGUCGAUGUGCUUGAAGUCAGCAAAAGAACAGACAGCGCAGCCACCCCCUGCAAGCAUGAGCGUCAUUGUUUUGAAGAUUCAUCUGUUGGCAGCAGGUCCUUC
rnacentral:lncRNA from 1 species